GUAGGAUAGUGCCUGUGACCACACCUGUGUUUGGAUCAAUGAGGUAUGUCGCUAGAGGAGACAUCCCGUGAUUCUUCAUUGGAGGAGAGCACCGCCAUCUUGGUGAGGUCAAGUCACUGCUGCAGUGCAUGCACGUGAACAUAUUUUUUGCAAAAUGCCAGUUCAUUGUGCGGGUUUAUACUGCCAAAAUCGAAUAAGUUAGUCCACGAAGGAGGAAGGCAUAACAUUUCACAGUUGACCGGACUGGAAGGAACCAUUCUGUCUGCAGGCCAAACUCCUAUAAGGGCGGCGGGGCGCUCCUUUAGAGAUUGGGUGAGGAGCCCAGUCACCCGGGAGGAGGUUUUAGUGGAGCCGCUGCUCCUCCACAUCAAGAAAGUCCAGAGG